AUCCAGCUAACGAGUCCCAAAUAGGACGAAACGAGCGUCUAAACUGAAU
rfam:Schistosoma haematobium scaffold264_10, whole genome shotgun sequence.